ensembl:snRNA U6 U6 spliceosomal RNA
UUGGACAUCAUCCAAAUUUAAAAUGUUUAUAUUCUUUCAGAGAAGGUUAGCAUGACCCCUGUGCAAGGAUGACAUGUAAAUUCAUGAAGUGCUCCAUAUUGUU